GCGACAUUAGCAGGUGCUCCACUCGCAUUAAGCAUCCUCGAGCGAGUCAGCAUGGAUCUCAUUGAAUUGCCUAAGUCGGACAAUGAUUUCAAGUAUGUCUUAGUCAUUGUAGAUCAGUUAUCACGUUUUACUCAGCUUGUACCUCUUAAAGAUAAACGAGCCGUAACUGUCACAAAUGCUUUGAUUAAUGAUUUCAUUACAAUCUUUGGUCCACCACAAGCUUUCAUUUGUGAUAAUGGCACUGAAUUUUCUAAUUCUCUUCUCAGAGCUGUUUGUAAGCUGCUGGAAACUAAGAUAAACUUUACAACCCCUUAUCAUCCAGAAAGUAAUGGGUUAUGUGAAAGGACUAACAGAAUAGUUAAAGAUACUUUAUAUGCACUAACUGAGAAGAAUCCUCGUCUAUGGGACACGAUGAUACCUCAUGUUAGGUUUGCUAUCAACUCUUCAGUUAACAGAAAGCCACUGGUCUGACGGCACGCUGGACAGGUCCCUUAAGGAUCACAAAGCGCACUGGACCUGUGACUUAUCUGGUGAAAGACUUGGUAAAGAACAGUGUUUAUCGACUUCAUCGUAAUGAUAUGCUGUCCUACGAGGCACAAGACGAACUGGAGAUAGUGAGUCCAGAUGGUGUUCUUGCAGAACACUCUCCUGAUGAUCCGUUAAGUGUUAUGAUGUUAUCUCUUGUGAGAAGAUUUACAGGCUAUCUGCAUGGUCUGUUCCUGCCGCUGUCCUGAUCAAUGAAACCAAGUGGAUCUGAUGCUGUUUGCUGCUGUCAUCCCAGUGGAUUGAAUGUCAUGACUUCUUGCAGCCCUGUUCCAGCCUCCGACCACCUUGUGGAGUCCCACGGCUUAGAAUCCUGCCUUAUCUCU
rnacentral:misc_RNA from 1 species